CCUACGGGAGGCAGCAGUGAGGAAUAUUGGUCAAUGGGCGAGAGCCUGAACCAGCCAAGUCGCGUGAAGGAUGACGGCCCUACGGGUUGUAAACUUCUUUUGUCAGGGAGCAAUUGGGUCCACGCGUGGGCUUAGCGAGAGUACCUGAAGAAAAAGCAUCGGCUAACUCCGUGCCAGCAGCCGCGGUAAUACGGAGGAUGCGAGCGUUAUCCGGAUUUAUUGGGUUUAAAGGGUGCGUAGGCGGAAUAUCAAGUCAGCGGUAAAGAUUCGGGGCUCAACCCCGUCGUGCCGUUGAAACUGAUGUUCUUGAGUGGGCGAGAAGUAGGCGGAAUGCGUGGUGUAGCGGUGAAAUGCAUAGAUAUCACGCAGAACUCCGAUUGCGAAGGCAGCAUACCGGCGCCCAACUGACGCUGAAGCACGAAAGCGUGGGUAUCGAACAGGAUUAGAUACCCGGGUAGUC
rnacentral:rRNA from 1 species